GUCCCUCCUAACAAAGGCCUUUCUCUUCUCUUCCAGGAACUGGCUUGGAAUAAGCCCUGCACUUCCCCCUUCUUUGACAUGACUCGCCUGGAAAGACGGAAAAAAAAAAAAAAAAAAGAAAGAAAAAAUUCGCAGGUUGGGGAGCAGAGGAAACAGUGGACAUGCCUCCAAUACAGCACAUUCCCCCAGCAUCUACUGAAUGUAAUCAUAGUCUUUUACAGUCAUGGGCAUUAGGACAUGAAAAGUGUCUUACAAGAUGUUUCAAAUGCACUGAUUUAGAGCAACAAGUUGCUUCUGCAGUGAAGAAAUCAACAGCCUACAGCAACAACAAAAGGAGGAGAAAUAGCCACCAUCCAAGUUCCUACUUAUUCAACGAGUUCAAGCUCAUCUGUUGAAUUCAAUAAGUUCCUGAAUUCUAUCAAACAAAUUACUUGGACACUGAUCAUGUUAUAAACACAUGCAGUUCACUGCAGUUUAGUGUGACCAUGGCUAGGUCAUCUGAGGUCACUGAACGUCAAAGAAAGAUUCUUGGAAGUACACAAACAAUCCUCAAUCUUAGAUACUAAUUAGAUUUUUUUAAGCAGAUAUACUAGGUGUGGUAUUAAUCUACUGAAUACACCCAUUUCCAAAAUGUACUUAAAGGUGAAUACAGGUAUCCACAUUUCAGCCUUUGUGCUAGCAUUAAACAUACAAAAUCAUCAAAAUAUAUUUAAUCCAAAAUCUUAAAAUAAUCUUAUGCAAUAGAGUACCAAGUAGUAGUUCUUUUGAAAGAAUUGCUAGAAAAGUGCUACUGACCUGCUGCGGAAUAACAGUGUCUCUGUAGCUGGGGAGAAUCUUCAGAGUGACACUGCCACUAAUAUUUUUCAGCAGUUCCUGCAGUUCUUUUGGAUUGUUUCCAACCUCAUGGCCAUUCACCUCUUUAAUAAUGUCACCUACGUGCAGAAGACCUUGUCGAUCUAUCAUUCCGCCAUGAAGAAUUCGUGCUAUUACCAGAUCAUUGUUCUCAACUCUAAACGUAACACCCUGAAAGAGGCCCCUUCUUGCAGAAUUUGGAAUAUGCUUCCUUGCACUUCCUUACAAAAGACAGCACUUAUUUCUUGAGUAUUUAGUUUAUUUUCUGUUUCCUUUUCAGAGAGAGAGACAUACAGCCUCCCUGAGCCUUAGAAAGCCUAUUGCAGCCACAUUUUGGUCUGCAAAUUUUCCUAAAUGCUAUUCCAGAGUGGUGAUAACUAUGACAUCAGUUAAAUAAAAACACUUAAUCAAAAUAAUACUACUUUGGCUUUAGUUGUCUUUGUUGCCUGCCUCCAGAUGCGGAAUGGAAGCACAAAAUUAAGGACAGAAAAGUACACCCCAAUUUUAGGCUUGAAAAUUGAAUCACCUCAGAUCUACUUUUUAA